CAGGAACAGCGUGUUUCAUUUCAGCUGUGCUUUGAGAGAAAGCUUAGCCUACUUUCUUCUCUCCCGCUGCUUUUCUCAUCAUUUCUUCUUCCACAGCUGUGCUGUUUAUGAAAGAAAAGGAGGAGAAGAAAAGAACGAGGGAGAGGAAGGCGUCCACUUUGUUGACUUUGUGUCAGCGGGUCACGUGGUCGACUGCUGUCUAGACGUUUUUAUGACAAGCGGCAAAACAAAGACAAAGCUGCUUUGUCUCUGCGUUGUUGAAGGUCAGCGCAGGAGGAAUGUGCCUCAGGAACGUUAAAACAAAGCCAGUGCAGAGUCUCCGAGUCUCACACGGACACGGAGGCGCUCCGUCGUUUCUCUCUUUCAAAAGCUCGGAUUCUCGGCCCCCGAACCGCUGAAGCGUCCGGAACCUUCCUGUGAGUUUCUCUUCAUGGUUCCCUCUGAGUGGCUCUAAUCAGAAUUUCAGCUCUGCUGGUUUGGGGAUGGCGACCUUGCAGAUCUUCAGGCUUCAGCAGAGCAGCUUUUUUUCAGAGUUUUAUUCACCAGAAAGGAGAAGAAACCGACUAAUCACGCACAGGUCACACGUUUCUCACGCGUUUCUGUGCUGAAAAGUAGCGUACGUAAAAACGUGA